rnacentral:rRNA from 1 species
UACGUAGGUGGCAAGCGUUGUCCGGAUUUAUUGGGUUUAAAGGGUGCGUAGGCGGCUUUGUAAGUCAGUGGUGAAAUAUGGCAGCUCAACUGUCAGGGUGCCAUUGAUACUGCGGAGCUUGAGUACAGAUGAGGUAGGCGGAAUUGACGGUGUAGCGGUGAAAUGCUUAGAUAUCGUCAAGAACACCGAUAGCGAAGGCAGCUUGCUAGGCUGUAACUGACGCUGAGGCACGAAAGUGUGGGGAUCAAACAGG